rnacentral:lncRNA from 1 species
CUUCUCAAGGCAUAUCUGUUUGUCAGAAAAAAUAUUGUCUGGAUCUCCUCACUGAUUCAGGUCGUUUAGCUUCCAAACCAGUUUCAACUCCUUCUGAGCCAUCAUGUAAACUGCAUCAAGAUUCCAGUGCUCCUUACUCUGAUGUUCCCUCUUAUAGAAGAUUAAUUGGUAGGCUGAUCUAUCUCACCAAUACCAGACCAGAUAUCACUUUUGCCACUCAGCAGCUCAGCCAAUUCCUUUCUUCUCCCACUGAGAAACAUUUUCAAGCAGCUACUAGAGUGCUAAGAUACUUGAAAAAGUGUCCUGGUCAGGGCCUCUUCUUUCCCAGAGAUUCUUCUAUGAUGAUUUCAGGCUUCUCAGAUGCUGAUUGGGCAGGGUGCCUUGAUUCUAGAAGAUCAAUAUCUGGUCAAUGUUUUUUUAUCUUGGUAAAUCUUUAAUUUCCUGGAGAACCAAGAAACAAUUAACUGUUUCUAGAUCUUCUUCUAAAGCAGAAUACAGAGCUUUGGGUGCUGCUACUUGUGAACUUCAAUGGCUCCUCUAUCUUCUUAAGGAUCUACAUGUUUCUCUAAUCAAACCUCAUGUGCUGUAUUGUGACAAUCAAAGUGCCAUACACAUAGCUGCUAACCCUGUUUUUCAUGAAAGGACAAAGCAUUUGGAAAUUGACUGUCAUCUGGUCAGAGAAAAGAUGCAAGCAGGAAUCAUGAAACUUCUGCCAGUUUCUUCAAAAGAUCAACUAGCAUAUUUCUUCACUAAACCUCUCCUUCCUCAACCUUUUCAUGUUCUUCUGUCCAAUCUGGGAAUGCUUGAUAUAUACCAUGUCCCAGCUUAUGGGGGACUAUUAGAGAAUGAUAGGAAUACUGUUAGUGAGAUAACUUGAUCAAUCUGUUUCCAUUCUUAGCUUAUAGUAUCAUUGGUAUUAGCUAGUUUCUAAGUUUUUGUAUCACUAUAAAUACUUCUUGUAUCAGACUUUUCAUGAUGAGAAAUGAGAAUAUCUUUUCAUAAUUUUCCAUAACAUGGUAUCUAGAGCCUUUCUCUCUCAUCUUCAUGAAGAAAGUUUGUUACAAAGUUAGUUACAACAAUUUUUCCACCAAUUGGGAUUAUUUUUCAUCUGAUACUUGCACUACAAGUAAUUCUAUACCUGUUACUCAACUCCCUACACCCAUUAUUGACCCUGAACCUUCAUAUACUGAACCAACAUCUCCUACACCACCUAUUAUCAGAAAAUCAUCCAGAACUUCACAUCCACCAUCCCACUUCCAAGACUAUGUUUGCAGUCAUGUUUCUUCUGAUUUGUCUGUCAAGUAUCCUAUCUCUGAUUCUGUGUCUUACAAUGUUUUGUCUCCAUCUCAUUGUGUUUUUUCCUUGUCCAUUGAUUCUCAUACUGAGCCAACUACAUAUGAUGAAGCAAACAAACAUACUUGUUGGCAGCAGGCUAUGCAAACUGAACUUACAGCUCUUGAAAAUACUGGUACUUGGAAACUGGUGGAUUUACCACCUGACAUCAAACCUAUAGGAUGCAGGUGGAUAUAUAAAAUCAAAUAUCAUGCAGAUGGAACUAUUGAAAGAUAUAAGGCAAGACUUGUUGCCAAGGGUUACAAUCAGAUUGAAGGACUUGACUAUUUUGACACUUAUUCACCUGUGGCUAAGCUCACUACAGUGAGAACUAUCAUUGCUUUAGCCUCAAUCAACAAUUGGCAUAUUCAUCAGCUUGAUGUGAAUAAUGCAUUCCUUCAUGGUGACUUACAGGAAGAUGUCUAUAUGAUUGUACCUCAAGGUGUUACAACCUCCAAACCAAAUCAGGUUUGCAAGCUCAUGAAAUCUCUUUAUGGUCUUAAACAGGCAAGCAGAAAGUGGUCUGAAAAACUCACUUCACUUCUUGUUCAUCAUCAGUAUACUCAAUCCAAUUCUGACCAUUCAUUGUUUAUCAAACAAACUACUACUUCAUUCACACUAAUUUUAGUGUAUGUUGAUGAUGUGAUACUUGCUGGCACCUCUCUACAUGAAUUUCAACAUCUCAAAAAUAUUUUGCAUUCCUCUUUCAAGAUUAAGGACUUGGGCCAAUUGAAAUAUUUUCUUGGUUUAGAGGUUGCUCACUCUUCUCAAGGCAUAUCUGUUUGUCAGAAAAAAUAUUGUCUGGAUCUCCUCACUGAUUCAGGUCAUUUAGCUUCCAAACCAGUUUCAACUCCUUCUGAGCCCUCUUGUAAACUGCAUCAAGAUUCCAGUGCUCCUUACUCUGAUGUUCCCUCUUAUAGAAGAUUAAUUGGUAGGCUGAUCUAUCUCACCAAUACCAGACCAGAUAUCACUUUUGCCACUAAGCAGCUCAGCCAAUUCCUUUCUUCUCCCACUGAGAAACAUUUUCAAGCAGCUACUAGAGUGCUAAGAUACUUGAAAAAGUGUCCUGGUCAGGGCCUCUUCUUUCCCAGAGAUUCUUCUAUGAUGAUUUCAGGCUUCUCAGAUGCUGAUUGGGCAGGGUGCCUUGAUUCUAGAAGAUCAAUAUCUGGUCAAUGUUUUUUUAUCUUGGUAAAUCUUUAAUUUCCUGGAGAACCAAGAAACAAUUAACUGUUUCUAGAUCUUCUUCUAAAGCAGAAUACAGAGCUUUGGGUGCUGCUACUUGUGAACUUCAAUGGCUCCUCUAUCUUCUUAAGGAUCUACAUGUUUCUCUAAUCAAACCUCAUGUGCUGUAUUGUGACAAUCAAAGUGCCAUACACAUAGCUGCUAACCCUGUUUUUCAUGAAAGGACAAAGCAUUUGGAAAUUGACUGUCAUCUGGUCAGAGAAAAGAUGCAAGCAGGAAUCAUGAAACUUCUGCCAGUUUCUUCAAAAGAUCAACUAGCAAAUUUCUUCACUAAACCUCUCCUUCCUCAACCUUUUCAUG